UGAGUGAUAUGAUUUAGCUGGGAAGUAUUGGUGAUGGUUGGACUAAAUGAUCUUCUACGUCUUUUCCAACCUUGAUCAUUCUGUGAUUCUGUGAUCCAUGUCUGCACCCAGCAACCUGACAGCCAGGGGUACACAAACAGAAGCAAACCCCAGUGGAAACCCAGCACUUGUUACUGGAAGGAACUGGAGUUUCAGGCUGUCAUCUUUAAGAAGCUCAAAGUGUUAAGCAUUCUACAAUCUAUGAAUUACUUACGCUUUUUUUUUAAUGAAAUUGAGUAGUGUGGAUUGACCAUGGUGCAGUACCCCCUGCAGCUGCAACUACAGCCUGCUUUAGACAAGAUCCAGUCUGGCAGCACGAGCCACGUGCAAGUCACUGCACGCCGUGCCAUCACACAGCACGGCUACACACACGUCCACAGCCUGUGGCGAGCACACAGCACUGCAUGUCAGCUCUGCUGCGAUCCAACCCAACUCAGAUGUCAGGAUGGUUCAUGUCUGCCACAGGCGAAGGGAAUUCAGACAGGGAACCAGUCUGCACGGCUCAGCUCUGGGAUCAAAAGAUGCUGGUGCCCCAACACACAGAAAAGAGACUGCAUGUGUAUGGACAGGCACACACACACCAUGAGCGUGUCCUAAGCUGGCAACAUGCUGGAUCAGACUGUAUUAAAUCCUGUUUAAAGGUAGACAGCAAAUGAAUUGUUUUAUGUUUCCCCUCGCACAAAAGAAAAUUAAUCUGGGAUGAACAAUGUGAUUGGAGAAAAAAAAAUUACUAGUAGAAAAAUGCUCAGUUUUAAGAGCAAAUGGACACUUUCAAAUUAAUCGUCUUGGUAGGAAAACGGGGCCUUUUUCUUAGAUUGGUUUAAAAUUAGUCUGCAGCCCUAUGCUUCCUUCUGCAAGCUGCAACAAAAACACGGAUCACAUCUGUGGGUGGGAAGGGCCUUCAGUGCUGCAGCAGUGAUGCAGUGGUGGGUCCCAGCGCAGCACUGGGCUGUGGUUGUGGGGAGGCAGCCCAGCUGCAGGCUGGCAAACAAACCAGAGAUGCAACCAUUUUUUUUUAAUGCAAUCUGCAAUACGAUUAAUAAAUCGUAUUAAAUAAAAACUGCUCUUAGAUAAAGUUCAAAGCUUCUAAAUAGCCCUCUGUUACUAAAACAUACACAACUUAUAUUUUCAGGCACUUCUAAAAAACACUUUCCUCAAAGCAGGCCAUAUUCUUUAUCCUGUUAGUCCCUUCAAGAUCCUCUCUUAAAGCAUGUUUGGUUUGGCUGUAAGAAAUCACUCCAGCAUUUCCUAGUUGGCAAAGAAGGCAUUACGGAUGUUGAAAUACUGCUCAUGCCAAAAGUACAUUUUGAAAAGCUCCUCAGCAAAAGAUAGAGCAAACGAAGCAGAAGUAUUUUGCAGAAGGGAAAUAGGACGUGUCCAGUCCCAAACUGCUAUGACAGAGUUCAGCUGCACGAUGACUUCGGAACCAGCUGUGCUACCAGGAAUUCUUAACAGACCUCACCAAGAAGGAAAAAAAAUGGUAUGAGGUCACUUAAGACCAAGUCUGUGUUCCAUUGCAUGGGGUUUGUUCUCAAAGCAACAUGGGGGGCUUUCUGAUUUACCAACAGAACUAUAUAUAUUCAGUGCACUUGAGAAGAAAGCAGCAUAAAUGCUUCUGGGUUCCUUCAGGUAGUUCUCAGAACAGCAAGUUCAAGUCUCAUAUGUUGAUGAGUUUUUAUACAUGUGGCUACUCAGCUCUCAGUCCUACUUGGAAACCUCCAGAUUCUGAACAUUACCAGAAACCAAGAAACCCAGCCUAGUCCUUUGGGGAAAAAAAAGUUUCUCAUUACUUUCCUUUAAAAAAGCAUUAAUUCAAAAGUAAAUCAAACUGAACUUCAAGUAUGCCUGAUAGGAGUUUAAGUACCACACACUGCUCUGAUCUGCCAUGACUCAACAGCACAGCAGAGUGGAAAAUCGGUGAGAAUGGAAAAGUUAAGGCAGGAGAGAAGCCCAGAGCCCUGCUGUUUUCCUGGGCACGUGUCACCAGCAUUAACACUCCAGCUCACACUUCUGCUAUAACAGUAGAGUCUUUUGCUGAACGCUAAGGAGAACAGAGCAGGGAGAUGAACAGAGUUAUGUUACGAUAGAAAAAUCUGAAUUACGAGAACAUGUUAAAAAGAAAUAACUUAUGCAGCCUUGGAAAACAAAAAAAAAGGGGCCUAAGAGAUGGAAGAGCUUGGUAAAGAUCUAUGGUCCAUAUAACCUCAGUGUAAGGAACCAGAGUCUCAUACCCAUAGUGGAGACAAGUUCACCUGCUGCCAGCAGCCGUGCUCCCAGAGGCUGCUCUAACACAGCCAAGCACCGUUACACCCAUCAGCCCUCUCGUACUUCCUGGUCUGCAGUCCACAGAGAUACAACCUAAGCACUUACUUUCACCAUGAAAACAGGGCUGAAGAAAAAUUAGGAAGUGUACCAUGUUAAUGGAACCCAACGGCCAGUUUAGUCACUCAUCCAGUCACAAAAAGGAAUCUUUCAUGGCCACCUAACUAUCAAAAAAAAAAACCAACAACAGCCCUGAGAACUGGUUCAAGUCUUACCAAGCAAACAGAUGGUGAGACUGCCUGCAAGAAAGUCAGUUAAAUAUCUGGUAAAUUCAAUGGAAAAAUGAUAAAUACUUUAAACAGCUGUUACAAAUAAAAACAAUUGAUAUCUUUCUUGUUAAACAGCCACACGCACACACACAUUUCAACACAAGGAUAAAUUAACAUUUACCUGAGAUACGUAACCGGGAGGCACAAAAAUAGGCGGCAUAGAACCAUUUGGUGACAUCAUAGGAACAUGGGCUGGACCUGGAAAGCAAAGAGGGGCCACUUCACAACAGAUGGUGACAAAUAUUCUUACAAUGAAAGGAGUGAUAAAUUCAACUUGACUUACAGGAGAUAUUUUGAACCAGCAGCAGAUUUGCAGCUCGGUCACCUACCCACAAGCCAAACAGCGGUUUGUAACCACAAAGAGUAUGUGUGAAUGCCAGCCACCCUGCAAGCCCUGCAGGCACAGUGUAACAGGGACCCAGAUGGAAGCACAAGGGAUGGACUUGCCUGUUGGAUGCUGUCCCCAUUAACCAUGUGAGGUAGAAGUGGCACUUCAUUCAAUAGCGGCGUAGCUUCUAACGGAGGCGGCUGGUCGGCCAUCAUGUCUGAAAACCAUUCAUGGACAACUGCUCACAGUAACUGC